GCCCGCGGCCGCCGAGGGGAGAUGGCGGUGUAUGGGGCGCCUGCCCCGCCCGGCCGCUGUGGAGAGCGGCGGGAGAGCCGUAGAAGGGCUGUGGGACAGUCCUAGGAACGAGAGGACAUGCUCGUGUGCUUCCCCCGCCCUCCCUCAAAAAAAGCCCCCGCCCCACCAGUGCUGCCCUGAGGCGGCGUCUCCCUUCAGGAGAACCCAAAAGCGUCUGGAAGGGAAGGGCCGCCCUUGUCCAGCCUCCUUUCAGGCUAGAAAUUUGUGAGAUGACAACAAAAUUGGUAAAACGAUACGAUUAUUGAGAUGGGCUAAUUAGUCACCAGGGGAUUACCCUGAGGGGGUGGGAGAAAUACUCUAAACUGUGUAGAUCUUUAUGAAGCCCUGCCCAGGAGUAAUAAUUGACAAUUAGCGUUUUUCUGGGUUUAGUUUCACAAGACAAACUUAAAUAUUUGGCUGAGGUAAAUGCAUUAUUCCUGCCACUCCUUUACCUCAGUUGUUAUCAUCGUUUCGGGGCCUGCUCUGGUUGUUGAAAAGAUCACAGACUGACUUCAUGGAAGCUGUUAACAUCUUCAAAUGUAGCACAACUGUUGUCGGCUCUUCUUAAAAUGUUACUGCCGUCCCUGUACCAAGAGACAGCAGAUAUGUGGGACCUUGCACAUCAACGUUUUUCGGUAUGAGAAAAAUCAGUCGUGUGUGUUUUGUGAAAUGUACUUCAGCAGGCAUCCCGGUCCUACAAGCAGAUGGCAGCACAGCAGCUGAGCGGAGCACUGCUGGCUCCCAGGAAGCACACCUGCCUCAAGCAGCAGAGCAGAGAGUACAGUCCCAUUCCCUCCACCGGAUCUCGACCAAAAGGCCUUGCACAAGCCGGAAAACUUGCCAACUCUUCCUCAAAAUGUGCUCGGAACUCAAGAAGACCUUGGAAGACCCCAUCAAAGAGCGCCACCUUGUGACGUCUCCAUCGGGACUUUUCAGCCCUCUUGGCACAGCCGGGCGUUAUCCCCAUGCCCAGUAGAUUGAGCUGUGACAGGUACAGAAGCACUCGAGCUGCCUUCACACUGAGCUAGGUCAGGUCCAGCAGGAAUUUUUAACUUAGUGGUAUACAGCCAGGGCAGUACUGCUGUGAGGGCCGAGCAGAGCAAGAUGUAUUGAGAAUUGUGGUGCAAACAUGCUCAACUAGUUAGGUCAGUGGGCCUUAUUAGCUCCUAUUCCAUGUUAGCCCUUCUGCUUUCAGAAUUGCUCUGCAGGGUCACUUGAGUGUCUUUGCAGUGUCUUCCUCAUGUCUGAGGUUCCUGGAGGGUUUAUUAACUCAGACACAAUAGACCCAAGCUUGUUCCAUUGGUGUUCAUGGUGUGUACACCAAGCGAUUCCAAAGCACAGAGACAUUUGGGUAGCAAUGCAAGUGCUAGCCAAAUCUAGCAGAACCAGCGCUGAGCCAGAGCAAAUAAAUCCUGGACUUGAACUGACCUUUGCUGAAGACACAAGUGUGCAUUUGAACUGCAUUCAUUGUGUUUUUCUUUAGAAGCUGUUCUAUUCUUGGUUUUGUUUUGUUUUUUUACUUAUCACACCUUCCCAUUGCUCUAGACAAUAAACUGCUGAUUAGAAGAAGAAGUUAGCUAACUUAAGGUACUUCAAGUGGACAAAACAUCUGGGACUUAAAAUUUUUCUGGCCAGGGUGGCUGGACUAGCAGAGUAAAAAAUGUAAUGAUGAUCCUCAAGCUCUAUCCAAAUGAUCACCUGAAUGAGAUCCCAUCCUCUCUUGGAGCCUCAAUUGUCUGUCUGAGAUUUGUUCCUCCUCAGUGGGGCAUGAUGAUAUCCAGGAGCAGUACUGUACUCCUUGGACAUAGCCCAUUUUUGACUGGAAGAGAAAAAUGCAACUGUAUUCUAAACACACCUGUUUAGAACAGCAUCAAAGCAGCAGCAUCAAAGCAGCUUCUCCUGCACUGUAAUUUGUGCAGCUCUGUAAUUGUCUAUUGCCUUUCCUAGGCCAUGGAUUGACAAGUGUCUUUUUUCUUCUCUUGGGAACAUUACUUGCUUUGGUAGUGUUGGUUGGACAAUCACCCUUUAUUUUUUGUUGGACUGUUCCUCAGCAGGAUCAAUUCCUGAUUUGGUUGUUUCAUUACACAAGCACUUUUGACAGUGCAAUGGAAAGGGAGAUGAGGGAUCUGAAGGGGCAGCUGGAGGCACAGAGGACACAAGGGCCACCACAUCAGCUCUACUGCCAAAUGCCAAGUCUCAUGUUCUUGAAAGAAUUCCUCCCAUAUCUUCUGUUUCCAGCUCCUAAUCUAGGUCCCUUCUGCUGCCAUCACUUCCAACUGCCCAUCACAAGGUCUGUGGUGGAUAUAAGCUACAUCAACCUGUAACACAAGCAUAUAGCUCAAGUUGUUCUGUUGCUGCAGUUCAGCUGAAAGCCAGGAGGUGUUGGCUGGAGUAGCAGCAAGUCAGUCACAUCCCUCCUACCUGCCAGUGUGGUCACCACUGGCCAUCACACACUGCGUUGGACUGGUAGCUACCAACCAUUCCCUUGGCACAUGGCAGACCGCUGCAUUGUCUGGAUCAGAGCAUCACUUAUUUUACCCCUUAACAAAUAGUAGUAAGAGUUAGCAAAUAACUAUGAGAAUAUUGUGUAUAUCAGUAGAAGAUAUUAAUAGGAAAGCCUAGCAGGUCAUCUUGAAUGUGGAAAAGUUGUCCUCUGUAUUUCAUAGUCCAGCUUUUUGUGCUCUCUAAAUAUGCCCACUGAAAACAGCCCAGAGCUUCCAAUACAUCAGCUGUCAGACUGUUCCACGGCCUGCUAUGGUCCUGCACAACUUGCACAAUGCUAACGGUGACAUUGCCAUUUGACUUUUCACAGAUUUGCAUACAAAUGUACUUUUCAAAGGUUUAGUGAAGCCACAGGGGAAUAUAUUUAUUUAUAAGUGCCCAGGAAUAAGGGUCACAGCAGCAAUAUAACAAUUCAUGGCUAAUCCAUCGCUAGGGCUUAUUCACAAAAUAGAUGGUAUAAAUUAUGCUGUCCAAUACAUAACCAUUUUUGUGUGAAAGUUUUUAAUCAAAUAAAAACAAGUAUUUUGUCUCAAAA